rnacentral:lncRNA from 1 species
GGGUGCUCGCGGUUUCAGUCAGCUUGCCGGGUUAGUGUUGUUGAAGAUGAGACGUUCUGCAGCACCAAGCCAGGUGCGGGGAAAUUCCUCUAAAAAAGCAAGAUUUGUACCUCCAGGAAGAAGUACUACAGGUGUGAGUAAGGAGAUUUCGAUGAGUCCAGAGGCAAAACUGGUUCAGUUCACUUGGCCUCUAAAGAAAUCAUAGAGUCCAAGGCACAAGAAGAGGAAGCUAGCAGCUUGCUUAAAUAUUUCAGUGUCGUUUGGUGUAAAGCUUCAAAGAAAAAACACAAGAAAUGGGAAGGCGAUGCUAUUCUUAUUGUAAAAGGAAGGUCGUUCAUAUUGAAAGAUAUGGAAGGAAAAGAUAUUGGAAGAGGUAUUAUG